CUGGGCCGGCGGGACUUUGACGCUGGCGGCACUUUGCCUUUCUCCCGCCCUCCCCACCCGGCUGAUACCCCGGAGGCUGGGUCCCGGGGGUCCGGCUCCCGACAGAGGGCUGCGCUGGAGGAGCCGGGCACGCCCAGGCCGGGCGGCCGGUGGGCGAGGGAUGCGGGCUGCGCUCCCACGGCGCGCGCCGGACACUUGGGGAGCGGAAACGGAUCAGCGAGAGCGGCUUCUUGCUCGGGGCACCUCCGGUGCCUGGCACUAAGCGGGCGCGCAAUAAAUAUUUGUUGAAUGAAUGAGCAGUUGACUUCUGCCUUCACCCCCUGGAGCUUGAACCCGCGCCGCGAGCGGGAGAAGCCGGACUCAGGGCAGACUGAAUCUCCCGGGGCCACCGCUUAGAGCCUGGAAAGCAGAACUUUUAUCACCGGAGAGCUGGUGCAAGGGAGGUGGGCUCCUCAGAAGUAUCAGACCGUUUGCUAGGGGAUCCUCUGCAGGGAAAUUGUUUAGAAAGCCCUAAUUUGGAAGUCCUGUAUCCCCAAACUCCGGGGACCCCCCAACCUUAAGCUGAAGAAACUUAGACCCUCAUGCCCAGACCUCCCUUUCCCAACCAGCCAGCAGCCCAGAGAGCAUUCCCGUGGAGAAAGGGCCAAGGCGCAUCCCCGUCUUUUCUCCGUCAACGACUGCCUUUUCUUGACGAAGAUCCCAAAGGGGCUGCGCAUUUGAACCGCCUUGGGCUCCAGGUGGCGCCCUCUCUGGAGCUCCCCUCUUGGAAUUCAUUUCUUCCUGGAGAGACUUGGAGAAUGAAGAUCCAGGGGUUUCUCCCUACCUUGUACCGAGAAGUAACAUUGCAAGUAGAGUAAAUGACCAGCUUAAUUACGUUCACCUUCGAAGAAGAUUCCUCUAGAGAGAAAUUAUAUCCUCCUUGCAGCCUGUGAAGGUUUUCAUGCGUUUUAGGAAUAUAAAAGAAAGGAAGACAAACAUGUAGUAAAGAUAGUAAAGACAGGACCCACUUCUUCACGCCUUCCUCAGCAACUUCUCCAUGUGGCCCCUUAGGAGCUAAAGCGCUCUGCACUGGAUUAUAUGACUUGCCUGUUGUGGACUCAGGGCUUCUCAAAGUUACAUGAAUUCUCCGUGCUUAGGGAAAUUGGAUGACCUCUGUUCUCUGACCAAAGAUAAAAGAAGAUUAUUCUGUGAUCCUAUACGAGUCAGUGGCUAAUGGAACUACCAAAAAAAUGAUAACAAUGCAAAUAAUGUAAUUGGUUCUAAGCAGUGCUUUGCAGGCUCCUAAGGAUGGUUCUAAGUAAGCCAGGAGUAGGUGAUACAUUGUAAUUCUGGGACCCAUGAGCUUAGCAGGACAAAGGAAACCAUGAAUCACCCUAGUCCCAGAAGUACCUUUUCAUAGGCCCCAGGGAUUCCAACAUCAUUAUUCACUCUCCACUCUGCAAGUGACUUAGGUCGUGAGCAUCUCUGAGUCUGCACAGGCUCUGCCAUGUGGCUGUGGGGGUCCGGCUUCUCUGAUGGAUGGGAAGAUAAUGCUCGGGGCUCCAAUGCUAUUAUCUCCUCAUCUCUGUCACAAGGAGAUUUAUACUUAUGAUUUACCCUUUUCAUGAACAUGGGAAAAUUCUUUUUUCUAGUGUUGUUUCUGGAAUGUUCUUUGCUGUGUCUAAAUGAGCUGAUUCCACUGUUGGGAGAGGUGGAUGAUGUGAGCAGUAAGAAGGCAUUAGUUUCUUGAAAACUAGAUCCAUAUUUAGGUGAGAUGAAAUCAAACUACCUGAUUUUAAAAAAAACAAACUAUGUUUAUUUACCGUAUGUCUUGAUUCCUAUAUACAUUGAAAAAUUAUAUUCAUAAAACUGUUUAAAAUAAGAGAUGAUGGGCUGGACGCAGUGGCUCAUGCCUGUAAUCUCAGCACUUUGGGAGGCCAAGGCGGGCAGAUCACUUGGGCCCAGGAGUUCGAGACCAGGCUGGGCAACACGGCAAAACCCUGUUUCUACAAAAAAUGCAAAAAUUACCAGGGUGUGGUGGUGUGUGUCUGUAGUAUCAGCUACUCAGGAAGCUGAGGUAGGAGGAUUCCUUGAGCCCAGGAGGUGGAGGUUACAGUGAGCUGAUGUGGCACCAUUGCAUUCCAGCCUAGGUGACAGGGGGACCCUGUUCCCCCUGCCAAAAAAAAAAAAAAAAAAAAAAAAGAACAAAAAGAGAGAUGAUGAAAACUUAGAAGAAAUGUGGAAAAUGUAUAAUGUAGGCAUAAAUGAAAAUAAUUAGAUUGUCUAUGCCGCAAAAUGAUUGUAGCUAUAGAAAGUCAUAGAUUUACAGGGAAAAUGACCAUAGAAGAACAUGAAUAAAUGACAAAUUUUAUUCAACCUUCUUCAAAACAAAAUAAAGAAAAAUACUUGAUUGCUGAAGUCUCUGGGCUAUGUAGCAAGAGUAGGAAGUUAUUUGCCUAAAUCUGAUCAUUUUUUGUGACAAGAGUGAAGUUUCACUCUUCAGUUCCUUGGGCACACGGACACUAUGACUAUCUUGUUUAGACGACUGUCAUAUUCAGCAGAUUUUUCUUCCUGUUUGUGGUCAGUUAAGAAAACAAGCAUUUAAUCCAGAACUUGUAUUUAAUACCAGAACGAUUUUAUUUUUUCACAGCCACCAACUGUAAAGUAACAAUAAUAACUGCGUAUGAAGUAAUGAGUACUGGCUCCAAAUCACCUUGUUUAAUCCCCAUACAACCUAAUGAGGUAAAUAUAACUCUCCGGUCAUUCCCACCUCACAAAUGUGGCUUAGGAGGUGUCCAGAAAUUACCUACAUAAUUAAUUAGUGGCAAAAUAAAAUCCAGACCCAGACAGCCUGACUCCAGGGUCCAUGCUCUAAAGCAGAGGUCUGCAAGCUUUUGCUAUAAAGGCCCCACUAUGGAUAGUUCCCAGGCUUUGCAGGCCAUAUGGCCUUGUUGCAACCACUCAACUCUGCAGUUGUAGCAGGGAAGCCUCUAUGAGCAAUACAUACAAUGAAUUGAGUGUGGUUGUGUCCCAGUAAAACUUCAUUAGUUGUGUUAGAUCAAGUUUAGACUAAACCUGCCUCCUUACAUAUUUUAAGUUCAGCCUAAAGGUUUCUCUGUACAUAGCGAACUAUAAUCUCAAUGGAAGUGUAAACAGACCAAAACCUAUUCUUGUGCCAAUCACUGAGUUUUGGCCAAUCAGAGGAGGCAAACUGUUAAAACUGUCUUCAAAUAAGGUAAACGCCCAGCUGCUGAGCUGUAACCAAUCCGCCUGUUUCUGUACCCCAUUUCCGUUUUCUGUACCUCAUUUCUGUUUUCUGUACAUCACUUUCCUUCUUCUGUUAUAAAUCGUCUUCCACCACGUGGCUGCACUGGAGUUGCUGAGCCUACCCCGGCUCAGGAGGCUGCCUGAUUCUCAAGUCGUUCUUUGCUCAAUUAAAGUAUGUUAAAUUUAAUUUGGCUAUGGUCUUUCUUU
rnacentral:lncRNA from 1 species